UACGUAGGUGGCAAGCGUUGUCCGGAUUUAUUGGGCGUAAAAGGGCGCGCAGGUGGUGUGCUAAGUCUGCCGUGAAAUCUCCCGGCUCAACUGGGAGGCUGCGGUGGAGACUGGCACGCUUGAGGUACCUAGAGGUCGGUGGAAUUCCCGGUGUAGUGGUGAAAUGCGUAGAGAUCGGGAGGAACACCAGUGGCGAAGGCGGCCGGCUGGGG
rnacentral:rRNA from 1 species